rnacentral:piRNA from 1 species
CUGAUGGAGGCUGAUGCUCAAAUUGAGGA